GGGAGAGGGAGAGAAAACAUACAAUUAUGUAUGUCUGGAGCACACCAUAUUAAAGGAGGGAGUGGCAGAAAACGUGAGGUGGGAAUCAAAUCAUGCUGGGCUUUUUGGCCAGCAAACUUGGAAAUCAUGUCUUAGAGAUCAAGGAGCCAAGAGAUGAGACAAGCCUGGGUUCCUAGGUGAUAGGGUGUGGCUGUGUCCCCACCCAAAUCUCGUCUUGAAUUGUAGCUCCCAUAAUCCCCACAUGUUGUGGAGGGACCCUGUGGAAGAUUGUGCCUGCAGCCUGGCCUGUUGCCCACAGCGGUCUACCUGCCACACUGGGAAAGAUCGAGCAGAGACAGAGAAGAAAAGGAGGCUCCAUUUUUCAGGCUGCUCUCCCGCAGGCUCAUGUUUUGUGUUCAUGCCAGGCAGAGAACACAAAAUGUUCCAAUAAAUAAGUAUCAAAGCAUCUACUUGUUUCCAAAGUUAUUUGGGUCAGCAUUUUCCUCCACCCACCACUUAAAACUGAUUUGUUUCAUACAUUUGAAAUGUAUGAAAAGCCAGAAAUCCAGGACCCACCCUGGCCUGCUCCCUUUUUCUCACCUACUGUGUUAAGGAUAAGUCAAUUGAGCUUCACUUCUCUAAUUGAAAUCACCGUGCUGAUGGAGUCUGUCUGUGGAAAUGAAAGGUGGCUACCAUAAUCUGUUGGGAGUUGAAUUAAUCCUCUGGGAGUGAGGCUGACCUAAUUACUCAGAAAUACUGGGCUUGCUUUCAUUCUGUGGAAUACAGCCAUGAGAAAGAGGCCAGCAUGCCAUUUCCUAAUCUUUUCUUGAAUUGCCUGAAACUCACCUAACAUGAAACUGAGAAGCCUUUUCAUUUGAAAGUGGUAUUUCUUAUGUUUUUUAUCUUUUUGCUUGAAAGUAUUCUUAAACUAAAGAAAGGAGAAACAGAAAAGGUGAAGAAGCCAAGAGGCUGGAGUUUCCUUUUGAAUGGAUAUUCAUCCAUGAAGCUGUUGAUUCUGUUUUUCUGUUCCUCCAGAUGUCUACACUUUUACCUCUGCUUGCCUGAUACAACCACCACCAGUCACCUCACAGAAUAACUCACUCCUUAAGAAUCUGAUCAGGAAUCAGCCUUCCCUGAUCACAAACACUGAGUUUAGAAGUCCCUCCACAGUGUCCCCCGUAACCCUGUGCUACCUCACUGCCUCAUAGUUUAGUGCCGUUUGUGUACAUGCCUAUCUUCGUCCAUGGAUCCAGAACAACUUGUAAAAAUGACUGUACUUAUCACCUUCAGUAUUCAAUGACUAAACUAUAAUUUUAACAUAUCUGGCAGAAUGAAUCACUUGGGGAUUUCUGCCAACACUACCAAUAUAUUACUCCUAAUUUGUAAUUAUUACUUAGCAUGGAUUAUAGUACCGGCUGUUGGAGAGCCAAUGUGGCAGACCCUAAGUGGAAUAAAAUGUCAGUAGCAGUCUAGGAGCAUAUAUUUAUUGGAAUAGAUCAUUCAUUCAUUUGUUCAUUAACUAAUUUGUUCAUUAAAUAAACAUUUAUUAAGCA
rnacentral:lncRNA from 1 species